rnacentral:rRNA from 1 species
UACGGAGGGUGCAAGCGUUAUCCGGAUUCACUGGGUUUAAAGGGUGCGUAGGAGGGUUGGUAAGUCAGUGGUGAAAUCUCCGAGCUUAACUUGGAACUGCCGUUGAUACUAUCAAUCUUGAAUAUCGUGGAGGUGAGCGGAAUAUGUCAUGUAGCGGUGAAAUGCUUAGAUAUGACAUAGAACACCAAUUGCGAAGGCAGCUCGCUACACGAAAUAUUGACUCUGAGGCACGAAAGCGUGGGGAUCAAACAGG